AUUAAACGCUGGCGGCAUGCCUUACACAUGCAAGUCGAACGGUAGCGCGGGGCAACCUGGCGACGAGUGGCGAACGGGUGAGUAAAGCAUCGGAACGUGCCCUGGAAUGGGGGAUAACGUAGCGAAAGUUACGCUAAUACCGCAUAUUCUGUGAGCAGGAAAGCAGGGGAUCGCAAGACCUUGCGUUCUGGGAGCGGCCGAUGUCGGAUUAGCUAGUUGGUGGGGUAAAAGCCUACCAAGGCGACGAUCCGUAGCGGGUCUGAGAGGAUGAUCCGCCACACUGGGACUGAGACACGGCCCAGACUCCUACGGGAGGCAGCAGUGGGGAAUUUUGGACAAUGGGCGGAAGCCUGAUCCAGCCAUGCCGCGUGAGUGAAGAAGGCCU
rnacentral:rRNA from 1 species